GAUGAGUAAAGUGGCGCACGGGUGAGUAACGCGUGGAUAAUCUGCCCUUAAGUUUGGAAUAACGUACCGAAAGGUGCGCUAAUACCGGAUAAUACUGAAUGACUACUGUUAUUUAGUCAAAGAAGGCUUCUGUUUACAUGCUUUUGCUGAAGGAUGAGUCCGCGUACCAUUAGCUAGUUGGUAGGGUAAUGGCCUACCAAGGCGACGAUGGUUAGCUGGUCUGAGAGGAUGAUCAGCCACACUGGAACUGAGACACGGUCCAGACUCCUACGGGAGGCAGCAGUGAGGAAUAUUGCGCAAUGGGGGAAACCCUGACGCAGCAACGCCGCGUGAGUGAGGAAGGUUUUCGGACCGUAAAGCUCUGUCGAGCGGGAAGAAAUGCAUGGUGGCUAAUAUCCAUCAUGCUUGACGGUACCGCUAAAGGAAGCACCGGCUAACUCCGUGCCAGCAGCCGCGGUAAUACGGGGUGUGCGAGCGUUGUUCGGAAUUAUUUGGCGUAAAGAGCGUGUAGGCGGCUGAAUAAGUCAGAUGUGAAAUCCCUGGGCUUAACCCAGGACGUGCAUUUGAAACUAUUCGGCUAGAGUAGGGGAGAGGAAAGUGGAAUUCCUGGUGUAGAGGUGAAAUUCGUAGAUAUCAGGAGGAACACCGGUGGCGAAGGCGACUUUCUGGCCCUAUACUGACGCUGAGACGCGAGAGCGUGGGUAGCAAACAGGAUUAGAUACCCUGGUAGUCCACGCUGUAAACGAUGUUCACUAGGUGUUGGGGGUAUUGACCCUCUCAGUGCCGCAGCUAAC
rnacentral:rRNA from 1 species